UACGGAGAAUGCGAGCGUUAUCCGGAUUUAUUGGGUUUAAAGGGUGCGUAGGCGGGCUUUUAAGUCAGCGGUAAAAAUUCGGGGCUCAACCCCGUCCGGCCGUUGAAACUGGGGGCCUUGAGUGGGCGAGAAGAAGGCGGAAUGCGUGGUGUAGCGGUGAAAUGCAUAGAUAUCACGCAGAACCCCGAUUGCGAAGGCAGCCUUCCGGCGCCCUACUGACGCUGAGGCACGAAAGUGCGGGGAUCGAACAGG
rnacentral:rRNA from 1 species